rnacentral:lncRNA from 1 species
AAUUAUUAUUUAAUUAAAAUUAUAUUAUAUUUGAUCGUGUUGGAUAUGUGAACUGGGACAUUGCUAAGGUCAAGGGAGGCCUCAUAAUAAUGGUGUUACAAGCAGACAAACUAUAAAACGAAAAUCAACAAAGACUUGUUCAUUAAUAUAAACAAAAAGCUUUUGAGAGAGGGUUGAAGAUGCUCUUCCAUGGCUUUGGUUGUCUGUUAU